CGGACAUAAUGCGAUUACAUCAAGCUAUGUUAGCGGCAGACGGGAGCGGAACACAUUGGUAACAUUCCUCGAAGUCGUGAACAACCCCGGGAAACUGGGGGCUAAUACACGAUGGUCAAGGGGGGACGAAAGGUCAUUCCCUUGUAAAGCUUCGGCGCUUCGAGAUUGGCCUAUGUCCUAUCAGCUAGUUGGUGAGGUAACGGCUCACCAAGGCUAUGACGGGUAGGGGGCGUAAGAGCGUGGCCCCCCUCACUGGGACUGAGACACUGCCCAGACACC
rnacentral:rRNA from 1 species